AGAGUUUGAUCAUGGCUCAGAAUCAACGCUGGCGGCGUGCCUAACACAUGCAAGUCGCACGGGAAAGGGGCUUCGGUCCUGAGUAAAGUGGCGCACGGGUGAGUAACACGUGAAUCAUCUACCUUCGAGUGGGGAAUAACUGAGAGAAAUCUUAGCUAAUACCGCAUAAUACCCACGGGUCAAAGCAGCGAUGCGCUUGAAGAGGAGUUCGCGGCAGAUUAGUUAGUUGGCGGGGUAAUGGCCCACCAAGACGAUGAUCUGUAUCCGGCCUGAGAGGGCGCACGGACACACUGGAACUGAAACACGGUCCAGACUCCUACGGGAGGCAGCAGUGGGGAAUUUUGCGCAAUGGGGGAAACCCUGACGCAGCAACGCCGCGUGGAGGAUGAAGUAUCUUGGUACGUAAACUCCUUUCGAUGGGGAAGAUAAUGACGGUACCCAUAGAAGAAGCCCCGGCUAACUUCGUGCCAGCAGCCGCGGUAAUACGAGGGGGGCAAGCGUUGUUCGGAAUUAUUGGGCGUAAAGGGUGCGUAGGCGGUUUGAUAAGUCUGAUGUGAAAUCUCUGGGCUCAACCCAGAGUCUGCAUUAGAAACUGUCGGGCUUGAGUAUGGGAGAGGUGAGUGGAAUUUCCGGUGUAGCGGUGAAAUGCGUAGAUAUCGGAAGGAACACCUGUGGCGAAAGCGGCUCACUGGACCAUAACUGACGCUGAGGCACGAAAGCUAGGGGAGCAAACAGGAUUAGAUACCCUAGUAGUCC
rnacentral:rRNA from 1 species